ACAUAUCAAUAAGCGGAGGAAAAGAAACCAACCGGGAUUGCCCCCAGUAACGGCGAGUGAAGCGGCAACAGCUCAAAUUUGAAAUCUGGAGUCCGUUUGGGCUUCCGAGUUGUAAUUUGCAGAGGGAGCCUCGGAGGGCAGGUCGGUCCAAGUGCCUUGGAACAGGAUACCGCAGAGGGUGAGAGUCCCGUAUCCGGCCGGCGGUGCGCUCCGUGUGAGGCCUCUUCGACGAGUCGAGUUGUUUGGGAAUGCAGCUCCAAGCGGGUGGUAAAUUCCAUCUAAAGCUAAAUACUGGCCAGAGACCGAUAGCGAACAAGUAGAGUGAUCGAAAGAUGAAAAGCACUUUGAAAAGAGAGUCAAACAGUACGUGAAAUUGUUGAAAGGGAAGCGCAUGGGGGCAGACUUGGCCGCGGUGUUCAGGGUGUUCUCGCACCUGUACUUCGCUGCGGACAGGCCAGCAUCGGUUCCGGGGGUCGGAGAAAGGCGCUGGGAAGGUGGCAGCCUUCGGGGUGUGUUAUAGCCCGGCGCGCAAUGCGGCCACCUGGGACCGAGGACCGCGCUUCGGCAAGGAUGCUGGCGUAAUGGCCUCAUGCGGCCCGUCUUGAAACACGGACCAAGGAGUCUAACAUCUAUGCGAGUGUUUGGGUGGGAAGCCCGGGCGCGUAAUGAAAGUGAACGGAGGUGGGAGCUCUCGGGCGCACCAUCGACCGAUCCGGACGUUUUCUGAAGGAUUUGAGUAAGAGCAUAGCUGUUGGGACCCGAAAGAUGGUGAACUAUGCGUGAAUAGGGUGAAGCCAGAGGAAACUCUGGUGGAGGCUCGCAGCGGUUCUGACGUGCAAAUCGAUCGUCAAAUUUGCGUAUAGGGGCGAAAGACUAAUCGAACCAUCUAGUAGCUGGUUCCUGCCGA
rnacentral:rRNA from 1 species